CACGUAGGGCGCAAGCGUUGUCCGGAAUUAUUGGGCGUAAAGAGCUCGUAGGCGGUCUGUUACGUCUGCUGUGAAAACCCGGGGCUUAACCCUGGGCUUGCAGUGGAUACGGGUAGACUAGAGGCAGGUAGGGGAGAAUGGAAUUCCCGGUGUAGCGGUGAAAUGCGCAGAUAUCGGGAAGAACACCCGUGGCGAAGGCGGUUCUCUGGGACGGUACUGACGCUGAGACGCGAAAGCGUGGGGAGCGAACAGG
rnacentral:rRNA from 1 species